GGAGGGAGACGAGGUGACUGAGCUCCCUCUCUUUCUCUCUCGCAGUGUUAUUUUUCUCCUCCUCUCCCUCAGCGGUGAGUGUGUGGAGAGAUCUUUUCUUUUUUUUUGCAGUGGAAGAGCAGCAGGAGGAGGUGUAGACUUCAGCUGGUGCAUAAUAGAACAAGGGGAAGUAAAGAAAAAGAAGAAGAAGAAGAAGAAGAAGAGGAAAGAAAGACAAGAGAGGAAGACUUCUCCCUCCUCCUCUGAAACAUGCCCUCCUCUGCAAACGACUUUUUCCUCAGAAGUAACGGGGGUACCAACUUCAAAAGGCAGUGAAGGAAGGAGCUGGAGAGUGAAAUGUGAGAAGAGAUAGAAGAUGAGAGGCUGACCGCUGCUGUGUUUGCUGUGUGUGCAGGAGCUGAUGUGACAGACUGGAACCCACACAUGACACCUGACAGUAAUCUAGAUUGGUGUGGACUGUUGAAGGUUUGCGAGGGGAAACACAAAAGGUAAGGCAAUUACCUUCACCAAAUUGAAUGGCUGCAUAACUCUCUGGAUGGCUUUUUAUCUCAA